CCACAGCGCUCCGGCGGGGGGCGGGGCGGGGCUGACAUCACCCGGGAGGGGGGGCCGGCCUGUGGAGGGGCUCGGAGGACCUGGGGAGACGAACAUUGCUUUAGAGACAGACUCGCUGUGGAGUUCAGGCUGGCCUUGAAUUCAUUAUGUAGCCAAGGCUGGCUUCAAACUCCAGGCAAUCCUCCUGCCUCAGCCUCCUCAGUGCUGAGAUUACAGGUGCAUGUGAUCACGCUUGGCUAUGGAGGAUUAAAUGAAUGAAUGGGUGAAACCCCACAACCUUCCUGGAAUUUGGCAGUAUUGUUAGUCGCAGCACUGCCUAACUCUGUACCUGACCCCAGGACCCUGAGGGCCUCACCACCCUGCUCCAUUACUGACCCCCUCGGGGCUCCCCAACCAGAGGCUCCUGCUGAGAAGUCCCCCCAUCAGAACACCUGGGACUCAGGUCUUCUCUGGCUUCUCUCGGGGUCCCCACCUGUCCACCCAGCCUCCUGU
rnacentral:lncRNA from 1 species